GCUCACAUCCACUUCCAAGGCAGCACUUUCAGAUGCUAUCUGCCCACUGGAGAAGCAUUCUGCUAUGCCAGACACGAUAUGGCAGCUUUUGGGCUUGUUGUCCUACUCUGUCACCUUAAGCCUGAGGCACAGUCCUCGAGUCUCACAGAAAUUGCUUGUCCAGCAUGGUGGUUUUAUUCCAUUCCUCUCUUUAUGACCUGUACAGAGCUGUACACUCACUGGAGAGCCAGGUUUGCCCAGAACCAUUUUGGCUGGUGGAUUUCCUGCCAAUAAUAAUAAAAAAAACCCAAAACAACAGGAAAAGCUCAAAGACCAGGUGGCUGCAGAAGGCAGAAGGACAGGUGGACUCAACAUUUGUAGCCAAGCAGCUUGAGAGGACCAACAGUGCCUGCACACCAGGCUGGCUUCACCAGCAGGCACAGCAGAGUGAAGGGAAGCAGAAACCACAGGCCAUAGUGAAGAGCUGAGAAGGCAGCCAGGGCAAGAGAAAGCAGUGUAUAACUUGGACAUCACAGAAGCUGAGUAGAUGGUCAGAUGGUCAGAUUCGCUUUCAGCCACAGCCUGGAGAAAAGUGGAUAUUACAUCAGAAUUAAUCUCGAGCACUGCAUUGAAGAGAGGCCUGCAAUUUUCAGGUCUAAUCAAAAUACAAUAUUUUUCUUUGAAGAACUUUUGAUGCCAUUUUAUUUUUAGUUAUUUUGGAAACCUCCAGGCAAUCACUGUCUAUUCUCUGUGUCAGAGAGGGUUAAAAUUGUUCCAGUAAAAUGAGAUCAUCCCCUCACAAUUCUGCCAUGCCUGAAAUGAUAUAAACUGUGAUAAAUGCUGAAAAAGUCAGAUUUCUUUCCCACUGCUUUUCAUUCUUAUGCACUUCUCAUUUGAAGUGGUGCAAGGAAGAAAGUCGUGGAGUUAUCAUUCCUCAAGGUGCUUUCAUCAAGUCGGGAAUGGAAAUCCUGUGGCAAAGGCUGUGCCAGAAGUAUGGCCAAUGAGAAAGAUUUUAGCUGAACAGUGAGAUUAUUUUAAAGUGCUUAUCCAAAGUGAGUCUGAAAAUUUUUUGGUAGUUUUAGCACAUCCCUGAAGCCUCACAUUACAAUGACACAAACAUGACACAGUGCAUCCUGUUGCCAUCUUCCUGCUUGAUGGAUGAUUAAAAAAAGAUUCAAAGCCCUCUGACAAGUUUCGAAUGUUGAUUUCUGUGGGAACUUUUAGAGAAAUUCAAAGUUGGUAGGAAAAAAACCCUUGAAAAAGCCUGUUCAUUGAGAUGUUCCCUAAAAUAAAGUAGCAGUCCUUUCUUCCCCCAACGGCCGCAGUGAAUGCAGCGUGUGCGAACUAGUGUUGUGAAGGUGGGGAAUUGCUAUUUUAAGUGUUCACAUCAGAGCUAAUCCCUGUCCUGCUGCAAUCAGCAGCUCUGUUGAAGUUGAUUGCCUCAAAAAAAUUAAAUUUAAGCCAAGGAACUCUGAGAA